UUCCCCUUCGGGGGACAGGGUGACAGGUGGUGCAUGGUUGUCGUCAGCUCGUGUCGUGAGAUGUUGGGUUAAGUCCCGCAACGAGCGCAACCCUCGACCUUAGUUGCCAGCAUUCAGUUGGGCACUCUAAGGUGACUGCCGGCUAAAAGUCGGAGGAAGGUGGGAUGACGUCAAAUCAUCAUGCCCCUUAUGACCUGGGCUACACACGUGCUACAAUGGGCGGUACAAAGGGUCGCGAACCCGCGAGGGGGAGCCAAUCCCAAAAAGCCGCUCUCAGUUCGGAUUGCAGGCUGCAACUCGCCUGCAUGAAGCCGGAAUCGCUAGUAAUCGCGGAUCAGCAUGCCGCGGUGAAUACGUUCCCGGGCCUU
rnacentral:rRNA from 1 species